GUCUAGCUCUCUGACCCAGGAUGGAGUGCAGUGGUGUGAUCACAGCUCAUUGCAGUCUCCAACUCCCAGGCUCAAACCAUCCUCCAGCCUCAGCCUCCCAAGUAACUGGGACCACAGGCACGUACCACCAUGCCUGGCUAAUUUUUACCAUUCCAGGCACUGGAGCCAUCAGAGUACAAAACAGACGCAAACUUCUGUCCUCUUGAAGUCCACUCUGGGAGACAGGCGAUGACACACACAACAUAUGUAUCAAAGUGAGCUGGGAGCCUUGUGAGGCUUUGAGCAGAGGAAGGACAUGGUCUGGCUCUGGCUGCCGAGUGGAGCAGGAAGAGAAAGAAGGUGAAGGGGAUGCUGCUGU
rnacentral:lncRNA from 1 species